rnacentral:sRNA from 1 species
AAAACCACCAUAACCCCUGAAAACUUCAUUUUCAUCCACAAAAAUUAAUUUUAUUGAGAGGAAGGAAAGCAUGACCUAUAAAAUUUAGGAACUUUUUAAUUCCUCAAAUUACAAAAGUAUUCUCAGCCUCAACAAAGUGUUAAGCUCGCAUGGUAGAGUAAAUUUAUGUUGAAGUUAAGCCACGAAUAAUUUCGUCAGGGACUAAAACUUUCUAACCAUGCAUAAAAAGCGUCUAGGCAUUAUGUCCAACCUCUUUUGUGGCAUUUAUCAGUCAAGCUAAAACUAGUACAUUAAACAAAAAUCAGCAUUUCAACAACAGCAGACAUAUCUUGUGAGAGGAUUAUAUCUUGAUCGCAAAAAAAUAAAUAAUUAGUCAAGUUUGUUUCAAGUAGUUUCUGCUUUAAUCGUCUAUUUAAAUUAUAUAAUAAUACAACCAUUCAUUUAAAUUAUAUGGUUGACUUUUUUCUCCUCUCAAUUUGGCAUCCCUCACCUCAUUCCCUGAAAAGAAAGAAAGAAACUUCAUGCACACAAUGUAAUAAGUCUUAGUUGGUAUCAACAACAACGACCUGUCAAUCAGUUUAACCAAUCAAAUUUGGCUUCUCUGGAACAUUAGACGAUCAACAAAAUCUAGAGUUCACAUUAAUCAUCAAGUGCCUGAUAUAAGAAAACAACCCUUCAUCCAAUCAGAAAUUCCACGAAGAAAACAACAAAGAGAAUCCAAAGUGACCAACUAGAGUAUGAAAAAGUUGAAG